rnacentral:rRNA from 1 species
GCGGMGGCUUAACACAUGCAAGUCGAGCGGUAGCACAAGRGAGCUUGCUCUCUGGGUGACGAGCGGCGGACGGGUGAGUAAUGUCUGGGAAACUGCCUGAUGGAGGGGGAUAACUACUGGAAACGGUAGCUAAUACCGCAUAACGUCGCAAGACCAAAGAGGGGGACCUUCGGGCCUCUUGCCAUCAGAUGUGCCCAGAUGGGAUUAGCUAGUAGGUGGGGUAAUGGCUCACCUAGGCGACGAUCCCUAGCUGGUCUGAGAGGAUGACCAGCCACACUGGAACUGAGACACGGUCCAGACUCCUACGGGAGGCAGCAGUGGGGAAUAUUGCACAAUGGGCGCAAGCCUGAUGCAGCCAUGCCGCGUGUGUGAAGAAGGCCUUCGGGUUGUAAAGCACUUUCAGCGAGGAGGAAGGUGGUGARCUUAAUACGYUCAUCAAUUGACGUUACUCGCAGAAGAAGCACCGGCUAACUCCGUGCCAGCAGCCGSGGGGUAAUACA